GUUUAUGGCCAUGCCAUCCUGAACACGCCCGAUCUCGUCUGAUCUCGGAAGGUAAGCAGGGGCGGGCCUGAUUAGUACUUGGAUGGGAGACCGCCUAGGAAUACCAGGUGCUAUAGGCG
rfam:Pteropus alecto contig1120, whole genome shotgun sequence.